rnacentral:lncRNA from 1 species
GAAGGAAGUGAACUUGGUAUAUGGGCUAAAACUUAUCUGGAGAAUGCUUGUUGGAGAUUCUUUGUGGGGAAAAUGGGUCAGAACCAAUCUGAUAAAAAAGAAGCAAUUCUGGGUGAUGAGUGGGAAAACGCAAGUGGGAUCGUGGAUAUGGAAAAAGAUGCUAAAACUGAGGGAGAUUGCUAAGAGAUUUCACUGUAAAGCAGUAGGAAAUGGUCGACACACCUCUUUCUGGUAUGACCGGUGGUCUGACCUUGGGGUGAUGUUUGAUUUGCUUGGAGAUAGGGGCUUUAUAGAGAUGGGCAUUCGAAAGGAAGCUACCUUGGAGGAAGUACUAAAUAAUACAAGGAGAAGGAAGAAACAUAGACGACUCCUACUGAAUGAUAUAGAAGCUGAGUUGGAAAUUGUAAAAAGGAAGCAGAGGACUGAAGUGGAGGAUGUGGAUCUGUGGAGGGGGAAAGCGGGUCACAAACCGAGAUUCUCUACCACAGAAACAUGGAUGCAGAUACGAGAAACAGGGGUUAAAUAUACUUGGGGAGGAAGUAUCUGGUUCUCUCAAGCCACCCCAAAGUUUGCAUUUAUAACUUGGAUUGCUGCUAGAGGUAGAUUGGCAACAAUGGAUCGGAUAUCUCGCUGGAACCCAGGAGUUGACUCUACAUGUGUUCUCUGCAAAGUGUUUCAGGAGACUACAAAUCACCUCUUCUUUGAGUGUGUUUACUCUUCUGGAAUUUGGGAGAAGCUGGUUAAAGGAAUUCUUGGUAAUGCUUAUGCUUACAAGUGGGAUGAAGUUACUGAGCUGAUCUCUGUCUCGUCAAGGGGGAAAAUGAAGCGCUUCUGUCUGAGGUAUGCUUUUCAAAUUACGGUCUAUAUGCUGUGGAGAGAAAGAAACAAGAGACGUCAUGGGGAAAGUCCUAUGCCUCAGCAUGUUCUGGUUAAGAUGAUUGAUAAGGCGAUCCGCAAUAAACUGAGUCUGGUCCAAAUGAAGGGAAUCAAAGGCAUGAACUUCAGUCUCCAGUACUGGUUUGAAACAAGAGAGUAAAAAUUUUGCAGAGGUUUAGGAGAUUAGAAAGAGUUAAGAUUCUUAUGUAAAGAGUUAGGAUCUUAUUUCUUUUCACAAAGGACCCACUUGAUGUAAAUAGGUUUUUUUGAUGAAUAAAUUUAGCAUUCA